GACGUAGGGCGCGAGCGUUGUCCGGAUUUAUUGGGCGUAAAGAGCUCGUAGGCGGCUUGUUGCGUCGACUGUGAAAACCCGAGGCUCAACCUCGGGCCUGCAGUCGAUACGGGCAGACUAGAGUAUGGCAGGGGAGACUGGAAUUCCUGGUGUAGCGGUGAAAUGCGCAGAUAUCAGGAGGAACACCGGUGGCGAAGGCGGGUCUCUGGGCCAUAACUGACGCUGAGGAGCGAAAAGCGUGGGGGAGCGAACAGG
rnacentral:rRNA from 1 species